AGAUUGAACGCUGGCGGCAUGCCUUACACAUGCAAGUCGAACGGCAGCACGGGAGCAAUCCUGGUGGCGAGUGGCGAACGGGUGAGUAAUACAUCGGAACGUGCCCAGUAGUGGGGGAUAGCCCGGCGAAAGCCGGACUAAUACCGCAUACGACCUAUGGGUGAAAGCGGGGGAUCGCAAGACCUCGCGCUAUUGGAGCGGCCGAUGUCAGAUUAGCUUGUUGGUGGGUAAAAGCCUACCAAGGCAACGAUCUGUAGCUGGUCUGAGAGGACGACCAGCCACACUGGGACUGAGACACGGCCCAGACUCCUACGGGAGGCAGCAGUGGGAAUUUUGGACAAUGGGCGCAAGCCUGAUCCAGCCAUGCCGCGUGCGGGAAGAAGGCCUUCGGUUGUAAACCGCUUUUGUCAGGAAGAAACGUUCGUGGCUAAUACCCCGGAGUAAGUGAACGGUACCUGAACGAAUAAGCAACCGGCUAACGUACGUGACCAGCAGUCGCGUAAUC
rnacentral:rRNA from 1 species